CAACUACUCCCUCCGUUCCAAAUUACUUGUCGCAGAAAUAGAUGUAUCUAGAACUAAAAUACAUCUAGAUACAUCCAUACCCGCGACAAGUAAUUCGGAACGGAGGGAGUAUAUC
rnacentral:pre_miRNA from 1 species